UGGUCAGGGAGCAUCCUGUGUGGGAUGGGU
rnacentral:piRNA from 1 species